CCUACGGGGGGCAGCAGUGAGGAAUAUUGGUCAAUGGCCGGAAGGCUGAACCAGCCAAGUCGCGUGAAGGAUGACUGCGCUAAGGAUUGUAAACUUCUUUUGUAAAGGGAUAAAACGAGGCACGUGUGCCUGUUUGCAUGUACUUGAUGAAUAAGGAUCGGCUAACUCCGUGCCAGCAGCCGCGGUAAUACGGAGGAUGCGAGCGUUAUCCGGAUUUAUUGGGUUUAAAGGGUGCGUAGAUGGGUUGUUAAGUCAGUGGUGAAAGUCUGAGGAUCAACCGUAAAAUUGCAAUUGAUACUGGCAGUCUUGAGUACAGUUGAGGUAGGCGGAAUGCGUGGUGUAGCGGUGAAAUGCUUAGAUAUGACGAAGAACCCCGAUUGCGAAGGCAGCUUACCAA
rnacentral:rRNA from 1 species